UAGAGUUUGAUCCUGGCUCAGAUUGAACGCUGGCGGCAGGCUUAACACAUGCAAGUCGAACGGUAACAGGAAGCAGCUUGCUGCUUUGCUGACGAGUGGCGGACGGGUGAGUAAUGUCUGGGAAACUGCCUGAUGGAGGGGGAUAACUACUGGAAACGGUAGCUAAUACCGCAUAACGUCGCAAGACCAAAGUGGGGGACCUUCGGGCCUCAUGCCAUCAGAUGUGCCCAGAUGGGAUUAGCUAGUAGGUGGGGUAAUGGCUCACCUAGGCGACGAUCCCUAGCUGGUCUGAGAGGAUGACCAGCCACACUGGAACUGAGACACGGUCCAGACUCCUACGGGAGGCAGCAGUGGGGAAUAUUGCACAAUGGGCGCAAGCCUGAUGCAGCCAUGCCGCGUGUAUGAAGAAGGCCUUCGGGUUGUAAAGUACUUUCAGCGAGGAGGAAGGCAUUAAGGUUAAUAACCUUAGUGGUUGACGUUACUCGCAGAAGAAGCACCGGCUAACUCCGUGCCAGCAGCCGCGGUAAUACGGAGGGUGCAAGCGUUAAUCGGAAUUACUGGGCGUAAAGCGCACGCAGGCGGUCUGUUAAGUCAGAUGUGAAAUCCCCGGGCUCAACCUGGGAACUGCAUUUGAAACUGGCACGCUUGAGUCUCGUAGAGGGGGGGUAGAAUUCCAGGUGUAGCGGUGAAUGCGUAGAGAUCUGGAGGAAUACGGUGGCGAAUGCGGCCCCUGGACGAGACUGACGCUCAGUGCGAAAGCGUG
rnacentral:rRNA from 1 species